UACGAAGGGGGCUAGCGUUGCUCGGAAUCACUGGGGCGUAAAGCGCACGUAGGCGGAUAUUUAAGUUAGGGGUGAAAUCCCAGGGCUCAACCCUGGAACUGCCUUUAAUACUGGGUAUCUCGAGUCCGAGAGAGGUGAGUGGAAUUCCGAGUGUAGAGGUGAAAUUCGUAGAUAUUCGCAAGAACACCAGUGGCGAAGGCGGCUCACUGGCCCGAUACUGACGCUGAGGCACGAAAGCGUGGGGAGCAAACAGG
rnacentral:rRNA from 1 species